rnacentral:rRNA from 1 species
GACGAACGCUGGCGGCGUGCUUAACACAUGCAAGUCGAACGGAAAGGCCCUGCUUUUGUGGGGUGCUCGAGUGGCGAACGGGUGAGUAACACGUGAGUAACCUGCCCUUGACUUUGGGAUAACUUCAGGAGACUGGGGCUAAUACCGGAUAGGAGCUCCUGCUGCAUGGUGGGGGUUGGAAAGUUUCGGCGGUUGGGGAUGGACUCGCGGCUUAUCAGCUUGUUGGUGGGGUAGUGGCUUACCAAGGCUUUGACGGGUAGCCGGCCUGAGAGGGUGACCGGCCACAUUGGGACUGAGAUACGGCCCAGACUCCUACGGGAGGCAGCAGUGGGGAAUAUUGCACAAUGGGCGGAAGCCUGAUGCAGCAACGCCGCGUGCGGGAUGACGGCCUUCGGGUUGUAAACCGCUUUCGCCUGUGACGAAGCGUGAGUGACGGUAAUGUGUAAAGAAGCACCGGCUAACUACGUG